rnacentral:rRNA from 1 species
UGGGGAAUUUUGGACAAUGGGGGCAACCCUGAUCCAGCCAUCCCGCGUGUGCGAUGAAGGCCUUCGGGUUGUAAAGCACUUUUGGCAGGGAAGAAACAGCCUGGGAUAAUACCCCGGGCGACUGACGGUACCUGCAGAAUAAGCACCGGCUAACUACGUGCCAGCAGCCGCGGUAAUACGUAGGGUGCAAGCGUUAAUCGGAAUUACUGGGCGUAAAGCGUGCGCAGGCGGUUCGGAAAGAAAGGUGUGAAAUCCCAGGGCUUAACCUUGGAACUGCACUUUUAACUACCGAGCUAGAGUACGUCAGAGGGGGGUAGAAUUCCACGUAUAGCAGUGAAAUGCGUAGAGAUGUGGAGGAAUACCGAUGGCGAAGGCAGCCCCUGGGAUGAUACUGACGCUCAUGCACGAAAGCGUGGGGAGCAAACAGGAUUAGAUACCCUGGUAGUCCACGCCCUAAACGAUGUCAACUAGCUGUUGGGGUUUAUUAACCUUAGUAGCGCAGCUAACGCGUGAAGUUGACCGCCUGGGGAGUACGGUCGCAAGAUUAAAACUCAAA